rnacentral:rRNA from 1 species
AACGAACGCUGGCGGCGCGCCUAAUACAUGCAAGUCGAGCGAGAAGGUGUAGCAAUACACUUGUAAAGCGGCGAACGGGUGAGGAAUACAUGGGUAAUCUACCAUCGAGUGGGGAAUAACCAGCCGAAAGGUUGGCUAAUACCGCGUACGCCUCCGAAUCUUCGGGUUCGGAGGGAAAGCCACACUGUGAGUGCGGCGCUCUUUGAUGAGCUCAUGUCCUAUCAGCUUGUUGGUAGGGUAACGGCCUACCAAGGCUUUGACGGGUAGCUGGUCUGAGAGGACGAUCAGCCACACUGGCACUGCGACACGGGCCAGACUCCUACGGGAGGCAGCAGUAAGGAAUAUUGCGCAAUGGGCGAAAGCCUGACGCAGCGACGCCGCGUGGGGGAUGAAGGUCUUCGGGUUGUAAACUGCUUUUGUCAGGGAAGAAAUCUUCUGGGCUAAUACCCCGGGAGGAUGACGGUACCUGAAGAAUAAGCACCGGCUAACUACGUGCC